GCAGAGCAAGAAAAGCAGAGAUGUGG
rnacentral:piRNA from 1 species